rnacentral:rRNA from 1 species
AGCGAACGCUGGCGGCAGGCCUAACACAUGCAAGUCGAACGGCAGCACAGUAAGAGCUUGCUCUUACGGGUGGCCAGUGGCGGACGGGUGAGGAAUACAUCGUACUCUACUUUUUCGUGGGGGAUAACGUAGGGAAACUUACGCUAAUACCGCAUACGACCCACGGUUGAAAGCAGGGGAUCUUCGCACCUUGCGCGAUUGAAUGAGCCGAUGUGGGAUUAGCUAGUUGGCGGGGUAAAGGCCCACCCAGGCGAGGAUCCGUAGCUGGACGGGGAGAAUGGUCGGCCACAUUGGAGCGGGAACACGGACAAGAGUACUACGGGAGGCAGCAGUGGGGAAUGUUAGGCAGUGGGGGCGAGCCUGGUCCAGUCGUCCCGCGUGGGUGACGAAGGCCUUCGGGUUGUGAAGCCGUUUUGUGGGGAGAGAAAAGCAGCAGGUUGAUACCACGCGGUUGUGACGGUACCCGGUGAAGAAGCACCGGCUAACUACGUG